UUCACUUCCAAUCCAGCAUUUUCAUUUUUUAAACCUAACCCUUCCCGCAACGUCGCCUUCCCUCUCCGGUUCCCUGCGGCGGCUGCGGAGGAGUCUCUGGCACCGACCUCUCUUCUCCCUCUCGCUCUUGUCCUUCCCCUCCGUGAGCAUCCGGAGUCAUCUCGUUGGUCGGCCCGCCCUGCUUGGCCCCUUCACUGGCUACGCCGCCAUCCUCAACCACUCCCAAUUCCUCGAGCCAACUAAAGAGGUUGCUAGAGGAAGUGUGCCACUUCAGACCUAGCCAAGCGUCUGCCAACUACAGAGGCUACAGUAGCGACGGUGUCUUCCUCCUGGAGUUGCUCCUAGACUCGGAUAUACCCAGCGAGAACCGUGCGUGAAUCCUCUGCCCUCUCCCUCGCCUCGGUCCCUUCCUCAAUUCGUCUGCUCCUCGAUGCUUCGUCCUUCAUGAGCAGUCAGUUCUUUCAUGGAUUUCGGGAGACUUUUCUAGGCUUUGGCGCUAGUGGUGCUGCACUUGGAGGAAAUCUACACUAUUAGGUUCAUCAAACUACAUGGAUCGCCAGAUUCCUUUUGUUGGCAUUCUGAGUAACAUCUCGUCACAAAAUCUUGAAUGGAACAAUACUUUGCUUUAGAGGCCAACGUAUAUGGAGGUAAUUAUGGGUGAACUCUUACAGAAAGGACUUGCAAAUGCUAAACAAGUCUUGAGCUUGAAUUUCAAUUAAGCUAAUGUUUAUUUAUUGGAAAAACUAUAGUCUUACAUAUGUUGCGUACUUCAUCAACAAUUUAUUCCUUACAAAUACUCAGGCUCUGUGCUUAUUUUAGUUUGUUAACUUCCAUGUUCUUGCAUCAUUUGAAUAUUUCAGAGGAACACAUUGCUUGAAGGAUAAUAAGGCUCAAUUUGCUUCUAUCCAAUUUUGCAGUAAAAGAAGCCUCGUUAAGUUUGUGUAUCUUUUAGUGAUUGAUGAUUCAAAUUCAAUCAUGUUAGAACCAUCAUAUUCUCAUCAACAGUAAGCAUAUACAUAGAGUUUAAGGACACUAUAUAUGUUUGGACAUCCUAAAAGUAUGUGGUUGCUGAGAGAAGAUAUCUUGUGCUUUAUGGAAAUGAGAGAGAUAGGUACUAGACAGAUUUUGGGUUUACAUGGGAUAUGUUAACUUACAAUGUUUAUUUGCAUUUUAAUAUUUUAUUUGAAACUUGCCCACACCUUAAAACAUUUCUUACAGAGUUAUAUAAUAUUUGAGUGCAAUCACCUCUAUAAAUAUUUGAGAGAUGAAGACAAGGUUGAUUAUGUUUCAUUUGUGGAUCCCGACAACAUACCUACAUGCCCACUUGGUAAAGAUGGUCGUGACACAUCACAACAUAUUGUCGAUUCCCAUACAACACUGGGUACCAUUGGAUCUUGACUAUUGUGAAUGAAGAUAAAAAUAUAAUAUAUUUAUUGGACUGUAUGUCUAAUAGAAACCGAGACGAUGCAUGGAAAUCUAUGGCGACCAAGUAGUGGGGUCAAGAUGUAUAAUGCCUCAAAGGGUAUUGCUAAAGUAUCAGGUUUUAAGCAAUUGAUGGGUAAUCUAAAACAAAGUGGUUCUGUUGAAUGUGGAUAUUAUGUGAUGAGGUA